rnacentral:rRNA from 1 species
CCUACGGGAGGCAGCAGUGAGGAAUAUUGGACAAUGGGCGCAAGCCUGAUCCAGCCAUGCCGCGUGCAGGAUGACGGUCCUAUGGAUUGUAAACUGCUUUUGUACAGGAAGAAACCCUUUCACGUGUGGAAGAUUGACGGUACUGUAAGAAUAAGGAUCGGCUAACUCCGUGCCAGCAGCCGCGGUAAUACGGAGGAUCCAAGCGUUAUCCGGAAUCAUUGGGUUUAAAGGGUCCGUAGGCGGUUUAGUAAGUCAGUGGUGAAAGCCCACCGCUCAACGGUGGAACGGCCAUUGAUACUGCUAGACUUGAAUUAUUAGGAAGUAACUAGAAUAUGUAGUGUAGCGGUGAAAUGCUUAGAGAUUACAUGGAAUACCAAUUGCGAAGGCAGGUUACUACUAAUGGAUUGACGCUGAUGGACGAAAGCGUGGGUAGCGAACAGGAUUAGAUACCCUGGUAGUCCACGCCGUAAACGAUGGAUACUAGCUGUUGGGCGCAAGUUCAGUGGCUAAGCGAAAGUGAUAAGUAUCCCACCUGGGGAGUACGUUCGCAAGAAUGAAACUCAAAGGAAUUGACGGCUUGAGACGAGACGACGACGACGACGAGGGAGGAGG